rnacentral:rRNA from 1 species
GCGUGCAACUCGCCUGCAUGAAGUCGGAAUUGCUAGUAAUCGCGGAUCAGCAUGCCGCGGUGAAUACGUUCUCGGGCCUUGUACACACCGCCCGUCACACCAUGAGAGUCGGGAACACCCGAAGUCCGUAGCCUAACCGCGAAGGGGGGGCGCGGCCGAAGGUGGGUUCGAUAAUUGGGGUGAAGUCGUAACAAGGUAGC